rnacentral:lncRNA from 1 species
GCCCGCCCGUCCUCUGCGCCGGGGACAAGUCCUUCCACCGAGGCCGGGUCCCCGCGCCUUCCCUAGCGCCCUGCCUCUCUUUGGCCGCGCUCGCAGGACCGCCUGUAGGAGAGUGAAGCCCCAGGGUUUCCUUGCUGAUGGAGUCCCCCACCUUCCCCAGCCUUCCUGUUCCCGGGCUGGUUACGGCGGCGAAGGGAGACCUUGCCUCUCCCCAGCCUUGGAAGCAGAGGGCUGGAGGUGGCCUUAUGUCCACUGCCUGCGACUCUGGACUUGAAGGGAAGAAGUAAUCGAUCAUGAUGACCGUGAAAGAAACACGUCUCCCUUCAUCCCAGGACCCCUGGUGGACACUGGGUGGUUUAGCAUCCGGACUAUGGAGAUGCUUUGGAGGUGUUGGCAGGACUACGGUUGAGCCCUUAUUUGAUAUUUACCGAUUGAGAAAGAACCAAGAUUAAGAGGCCUGGAACUCAUCAGGGGUAUUUUAUUUAUCCUGCCUUUUCCUCAUUUCCUCUCCUGCUGUCAUGCUUGUUUAUUGAGCACCUACUGUUUAUGGGAAGAAAAGAUAAUAGACAAGAUACUUGACCUCAAACCCAUGAAAAUUUAAUAGUUACAUGUCAUCAUCCUCGGGCCAGCAGCGGUAUGUGUUCUGGUCUUGCUUCCUGGACCACCCAGAAGAGACUUUAUAGCCCCAGCCAUCAGGGGUAUAGUGUGUGCCCAGUGUGUUUUCUAUCCCUGGCUUCCAAAAAGUCCUGGAAGAAAGAAUAGGUGUGACCAGAAAGUCCUUCACCUCCGGAAUCUAAGUGGAUAUGGGAGAAAUGUGGACAUGAGAGGGGCACAGAGGAAGACUACCUGAAGACACACAGAGAGAAGGUGACCACGUGGUUGGAGUGGAGCAUCUACAAACCAACACACAUACCAAGGAUUGCUGGCAAGUAUCACCAGAAGCUAGAAGAGGCAAGAAAGGAUUCUCCCCAAAGCUGUCAGCAAAAACACAGCACUGAUGGUAUAAAGGAGUACAGACGAGGUCAAAAUUCUAAAAUUGGAAUCUUGCCAUUAACAAACAGAACUGACAUUCUGAUACUUCUAUCUGCUGUGGACGUGACACAGAGACUUACCAAAGCCAAGAUACAUUUAUUCAAGGAGGAGCAACUUGCCUUUAUACUUAUACCUUUGUUAAUAACUUGUUUAAAGCAAUCCUUUGUUUUCUUUGCAUAUUUGAAUUGAUUUGCUAAAAGUUAUCUACUGUUAAAUAAGCAAAACUCAAAAUUUUCAAGCAUAUGGGACUUGUUCAGAAUCAGUUUUUAGUUUCUUUUUCAGGAUUUUGUACAAGUUGCAAGAGAAGAGACACAAAAUUAUCUUAUUAAUUCUAUUGCAAUAUGGAGAUACAUUUUAAACAAAUGGAAAUAAUCAAUAUUAGUAUUAUCUGUAUAUUUGUGUGUGUGUGUGUUGAUCUGACUAUAUUUUUCUUCAAAGGGAAAUCACAAAGGCCAAGUGUGUUUAUCAGGUAACUCACCUUAAGAAAACUUGUACUAUGUGAAAAGUCAAUUUCUUUAAAAACUGUCACCAACUCAACCCUGGUUUGUAAGUAGAAAAAACUAUCAAUUAUUUUUUAACAAUAGUAAUACUCCCAAGGUAUAUACUUCUGCCACAAAAAAUUAAGAAUAGUUUACUUAGCACGUUUUGUCAUUGUGGAAAUCAUUGAGAAAAAUCACAGUGGAAAGUUAUUUGAAAAGGCAUAACUGUCAUUAGAAAGAAAUUAAGAAUAAAGAAGGCAGGCCUGGCGUGGUGGCUCAUGCCUGUAAUCCCAGCACUUUGGGAGGCUGAGGUGGGUGGAUCUCCUGAGGUCGGGAGUUCAAGACCAGCCUGACUAACAUGGAGAAACCCCAUCUCUACUAAAAAUACAAAAUUAGCCGGGGUGGUGGCACAUGCCUGUAAUCCCAGCUACUCGGGAGGCUGAGGCAGGAGAAUUGCUUGAACCCAGGAGAUGGAGGUUGCGGUGAGCUGAGAUGGUGCCAUUGCACUCCAGCCUGGGCAAAAAGAGUGAAACUCCACCUAAAAAAAAAAUAAAAAUAAUAAAAAAAUAAAGCAGUAAAAACAAAA